rnacentral:rRNA from 1 species
UUCGGGGGACAGGGUGACAGGUGGUGCAUGGUUGUCGUCAGCUCGUGUCGUGAGAUGUUGGGUUAAGUCCCGCAACGAGCGCAACCCUCGACCUUAGUUGCCGGCAUUCAGUUGGGCACUCUAAGGUGACUGCCGGCUAAAAGUCGGAGGAAGUGGGGAUGACGUCAAAUCAUCAUGCCCCUUAUGACCUGGGCUACACACGUGCUACAAUGGGCGGUACAAAGGGUCGCGAACCCGCGAGGGGGAGCCAAUCCCAAAAAGCCGCUCUCAGUUCGGAUUGCAGGCUGCAACUCGCCUGCAUGAAGCCGGAAUCGCUAGUAAUCGCGGAUCAGCAUGCCGCGGUGAAUACGUUCCCGGGCCUU